CCUGUUGGAGCAUGAGCAACUGCAUGACAGAGAGCCCAGUUGUCUCAGCUAAAGCCAUCCCAAACCAGCCUCAAAGCAGGUGACCCUCAAACACAAGAGAGUCUGACCAAGAUCAAGAGGGCCACCCCCCAUCCCUGCCAGCCCCAGCUGAUGGCAGACAGAUCGGGCAAGCCCACUUAAGCCCUGAAGAUCCAUCCAGUUGACCUGCAGACUUGUAAGCAACAGCAUCACCAGAGCCAGCCAGCAGAGGAUGGCAAACCAGUGGAGAGAAAACCAACUGUCUCAGCUGGGCCAGUCUAGAACAGACAGCCCCCAGACGGCCCAGCAGCUAAUAAAAGAGUAGCAGGUACUUUGCUUCUCGACAAUGGCCCUUAGAGAUCCCUCGUGAGAGAGACUGCUGCAUUUUCUUGAGGACCUGUCCUACGUCACCUGCGGCUGCCCCAUCUGACACCCUGCCCUGCCUCCAACCCUCAGUAAGCAGCAAAGCCACACAUCAACCGUCAGCUCCCUAAUAGCAAGUCAGCCGGCACUGCCAGCUCAUUCAAUUUGCAGGACUCAGGAGGCUCCCAUGCCAGCCAGCAUCCCUUCCUGCUGCGGGCAGCAAGGACAGCAGCCCAGCCGCAAGAACACGAAAACACUGCUUUUCAACCAGACUGAAUGGGAUCAGUGGGUGGGCCGGUCCACUUGUCGGCAUCAGUUGGAGAUCAAAGCAACACAGGAGGGAACAGACCCAGAAGGGAGAAGGAGCGAAAAGCCUCCCUCAACACACUCCACAUCCAGCCAGGGCUUCUAAGGGGAAUAUGUGGGAAUAAUCCUGACCAAAACACCACCCCUCCCCUAGGAGCCCAGGAGAGAAAGGGUGACAAGGAUAUAGAAUGGGGGCUGGGGACAGGGUGGUGGGAGGGGGGUGGAGGCGGAAGAGGAAGCAACAGAAAAUACAAAGGAAGGAAGGAGGGCAAUUGGAGGAAGCAACUCCACCCUCUUACAGCUUCAAAGAGGGCCCUUCUCUGUCCCUGAGCCUUCAGGGAACCAAGAGGGCAGGGGGCCCAUGGAGGAGACAGCUGCACGCAGUCCUGGCUGCACGCAUGGCACCGGCUGCCAGCUGGAGGGGAAGCAGGCUCUCCUGGCUCCAGAAGGCAGAGGGCUGGUACUUUUUGCUUUUCUCUGAAGAGUUGGAGAAAACAGAGCCCAGCCCUGUGAACCUAGCCAGGUCCAAUUUCCUCCCACAAGGCAAAUUCUUUCCUGUGCUUGGGAAACACACCUGGCUCGAAUUCUCAAGCCCGGGCCAGGAGCUCAGAGCUUUCUCCCAGUGGAUGGUCCCUGGGAGAAAUAAAAUGCUUGGCUGAAGCAGAACAUUUUGAUGGCAAAAAUCCUCAGAGGGAGACAAAUAAGCUCUCCAGGGCUGCCCCAUCUGCUCUCUGUAGGUAGCAGUCACAGUAAUGGUCAUGGCAAUAAAGAUGAUAGGAAUAAUGAUGGGCACCAUUAAAUGAGCACUUACUAAGUGACAGGCUUUUUUUUUUUUUAAUGGCCUCCUCAUGAUUCAAGGCCAUCAGCAUCAGAGACCAGAGCCCCCAUCUCCACCCUUAGGUACAGGAUGCUCUGGUUGGUAUCAUCUGCAACCCCUGUGUCACUUUGCUGAAGGCUUCCUCCUACUCCAGCUGCCUCUGCCCACUCAUCAGCAGGCUGGGAGUGCCAGAGAAUAAAUAAUCCCACCCCCCAGAGCAACCUUGGCCAAUAAGGAAUGAGUUGGCGGAUCAAUACCCCAGCUCCUCUGCUCUUUGAAUGAGAGAAGUCUGUGUGGUCUUCACUGGCUCCCAGUUGGGCUUAAUCCUAAUAGGAUGAAACUCUGGUCACCCAGGAUGGUCAUUUGCUUGAUAUCAUACCUGGUGUGGGCUGCCUUCCUUUCCUGUCUCACCCACUCCCCAGAUCCUUCCUAGUGUUUCCUUGGAUCACCUUCCCAAGAAACAGCUUGUGCUAGAAUCCUUGUCCCAAGGUCAGCUUCUGGGGGGAAUCCAACCUAUGAAAGUUAUAGGACCAUUUUACAUGUGAGAAAACUGAGGUCCACAGGGUUUAAGAAUUCACCUUCUUCUGCCUGACUCAGAGUACUCAUGACUAUUCUCUACUGUGAUUUCUAUGACUUUGCUGAAUUCUCUGGGUGCCAAGUAAACUGUAGUUCAAGCCAGAG
ensembl:lncRNA